UAAAACAUAGCGUCAAUGCACUAGAUCCCAUUAGAACUGUGUAGUUAAGUGCCCUCAGGUUGGAGUAGUAUUGGAAAGGGUGAACACCCAAGAAGUCCUAGUGUUUUAC
rnacentral:rRNA from 1 species